rnacentral:rRNA from 1 species
UCGGGCGUGAAGACUCUACUUGACUAGCUGAGAGGAGGUGCAUGGCCGUCGUCAGUUCGUACUGUGAAGCAUCCUGUUAAGUCAGGCAACGAGCGAGACCCACGCCAACAGUUGCCAGCUCGUCCUCCGGGGAUGGUGGGGACACUGUUGGGACCGCCUCUGCUAAAGAGGAGGAAGGAAUGGGCAACGGUAGGUCAGCAUGCCCCGAAUUAUCUGGGCUACACGCGGGCUACAAUGGGUGGGACAAUGGGUAUCGACACCGAAAGGUGAAGGCAAUCUCCUAAACCCAUCCGUAGUUCGGAUUGUGGGCUGCAACUCGCCCACAUGAAGCUGGAAUCUGUAGUAAUCGUGUCUCAAAAUGGCACGGUGAAUAUGUCCCUGCUCCUU